rnacentral:rRNA from 1 species
AUUGAACGCUGGCGGCAUGCCUUACACAUGCAAGUCGAACGGCAGCACGGGUGCUUGCACCUGGUGGCGAGUGGCGAACGGGUGAGUAAUACAUCGGAACAUGUCCUGUAGUGGGGGAUAGCCCGGCGAAAGCCGGAUUAAUACCGCAUACGAUCUACGGAUGAAAGCGGGGGACCUUCGGGCCUCGCGCUAUCGGGUUGGCCGAUGGCUGAUUAGCUAGUUGGUGGGGUAAAGGCCUACCAAGGCGACGAGCAGUAGCUGGUCUGAGAGGACGACCAGCCACACUGGGACUGAGACACGGACCAGACUCCUACGGGAGGCAGCAGUGGGGAAUGUUGGACAAUGGGCGAAAGCCUGAUCCAGCAAUGCCGCGUGUGUGAAGAAGGCCUUCGGGUUGUAAAGCACUUUUGUCCGGAAAGAAAUCCUUGGCCCUAAUACGGUCGGGGGAUGACGGUACCGGAAGAAUAAGCACCGGCUAACUACGUG